GUGUCAGCAGCCGCGGUAAGACGAGCCUCACGAACGUUAUUCGGAAUUACUGGGCUUAAAGGGUGCGUAGGCUGUGCGGAAAGUUGGGUGUGAAAUCCCUCGGCUCAACCGAGGAACUGCGCCCAAAACUACCGUACUCGAGGAAGAUAGAGGUGAGCGGAACUUACGGUGGAGCGGUGAAAUGCGUUGAUAUCGUAAGGAACACCCGUGGCGAAAGCGGCUCACUGGGUCUUUUCUGACGCUGAUGCACGAAAGCUAGGGGAGCAAACGGGAUUAGAUACCCGCGUAGUCC
rnacentral:rRNA from 1 species